rnacentral:rRNA from 1 species
AUUGAACGCUGGCGGCAGGCUUAACACAUGCAAGUCGAACGAGAGGAGGAGGGGUGAGUAAUGGUUGGGAAUCUAGCUUAUGGACGGGGAUAACUACGGGAAACUGUAGCUAAUACCGCUAACCAUAGACUGGGCCCAAGGGGGAUUAGGUAGUUGGUGUGGUAAAGGCUCACCUAGGCGACGAUCCCUAGCUGGGCUGAGAGGAGGAUCAGCCACACUGGGACUGAGACACGGCCCAGACUCCUACGGGAGGCAGCAGUGGGGAAUAUUGGACAAUGGGCGAAAGCCUGAUGCAGCCAUGCCGCGUGUAUGAAGAAGGCCUUCGGGUUGUAAAGUACUUUCAGUCGGGAGGCGUUACCGAAAGAAGAAGCACCGGCUAACUCCGUGCCAGCAGCCGCGGUAAUAC